rnacentral:rRNA from 1 species
CCUACGGGUGGCAGCAGUCGAGAAUAAUUCACAAUGGGGGAAACCCUGAUGGUGCGACGCCGCGUGGGGGAAUGAAGGUCUUCGGAUUGUAAACCCCUGUCAUGUGGGAGCAAAUUAAAAAGAUAGUACCACAAGAGGAAGCGACGGCUAACUCUGUGCCAGCAGCCGCGGGAAUACAGCGGUCUCAAGCGUUGUUCGGAUUGAGUGGGCGUAAAGUGUGCGUAGGCUGUUUCGUAAGUCGGGUGUGAAAGGCGCGGGCUCAACCCGCGGACGGCACAUGAUACUGCGAGACUAGAGUAAUGGAGGGGGAAGCGGAAUUCUCGGUGUAGCAGUGAAAUGCGUAGAUAUCGAGAGGAACACUCGUGGCGAAGGCGGGUUACUGGACAUUAACUGACGCUGAGGCACGAAAGCGAGGGGAGCGAACAGGAUUAGAUACCCUUGUAGUC